ACGAACGCUGGCGGCGUGCUUCACACAUGCAAGUCGAACGGAAGGGCCCUGCUUUUGUGGGGUGCUCGAGUGGCGAACGGGUGAGUAACACGUGAGUAACCUGCCCUUGACUUUGGGAUAACUUCAGGAAACUGGGGCUAAUACCGGAUAGGAGCUCCUGCUGCAUGGUGGGGGUUGGAAAGUUUCGGCGGUUGGGGAUGGACUCGCGGCUUAUCAGCUUGUUGGUGGGGUAGUGGCUUACCAAGGCUUUGACGGGUAGCCGGCCUGAGAGGGUGACCGGCCACAUUGGGACUGAGAUACGGCCCAGACUCCUACGGGAGGCAGCAGUGGGGAAUAUUGCACAAUGGGCGGAAGCCUGAUGCAGCAACGCCGCGUGCGGGAUGACGGCCUUCGGGUUGUAAACCGCUUUCGCCUGUGACGAAGCGUGAGUGACGGUAAUGGGUAAAGAAGCACCGGCUAACUACGUG
rnacentral:rRNA from 1 species